rnacentral:pre_miRNA from 1 species
UUUUUAGUGUAAGUAUGUCCCAUGACAUAUUUGGCACAUACUUAUAUUAAAA